rnacentral:rRNA from 1 species
AAAGAUUCUAUCGGUAUGGGAUGGGGUCGCGUCCUAUCAGCUUGAUGGCGGGGUAACGGCCCACCAUGGCUUCGACGGGUAGCCGGCCUGAGAGGGCGACCGGCCACAUUGGGACUGAGAUACGGCCCAGACUCCUACGGGAGGCAGCAGUGGGGAAUAUUGCACAAUGGGCGCAAGCCGGAUGCAGCGACGCCGCGUGCGGGAUGACGGCCUUCGGGUUGUAAACCUCUUUUGUCGGAGAGUAAAGUACGCUACGUGUAGCGUAUUGCAAGUAUCCGAAGAAAAAGCAUCGGCUAACUCCGUGCCAGCAGCCGCGGUAAUACGGAGGAUGCGAGCGUUAUCCGGAUUUAUUGGGUUUAAAGGGUGCGUAGGCGGCACGCCAAGUCAGCGGAGAAAUUUCCGGGCUCAACCCGGAGUGUGCCGUUGAAACUGGCGAGCUAGAGUACACAACAGGCAAGCGGAAUGGCGUGGUGUAGCGGUGAAAUGCAUAGAUAUCCACGCAGAACCCCGAUUGCGAAGGCAGCCUGCUAGGGUGAAACAGACGCUGAGGGCACGAAAGCGUGGGGUAUCGAACAGGAUUAGAUACCCUGGUAGUCCACGCAGUAAACGAUGAAUACUAACUGUUUGCGAUACAAUGUAAGCGGUACAGCGAAAGCGUUAAGUAUUCCACCUGGGGAGUACGCCGGCAACGGUGAAACUCAAAGGAAUUGACGGGGGCCCGCACAAGCGGAGGAACAUGUGGUUUAAUUCGAUGAUACGCGAGGAACCUUACCCGGGCUCAAACGCAGGGGGAAUGUCGGUGCCAGCCGGCAGCUAGUAAUAGUCACCUGCGAGGUGCUGCAUGGUUGUCGUCAGCUCGUGCCGUGAGGUGUCGGCUUAAGUGCCAUAACGAGCGCAACCCCUAUCGACAGUUACUAACGGGUGAAGCCGAGGACUCUGUCGAGACUGCCGGCGCAAGCCGCGAGGAAGGUGGGGAUGACGUCAAAUCAGCACGGCCCUUACGUCCGGGGCGACACACGUGUUACAAUGGCAGGUACAGAAGGCAGCCAGUCAGUAAUGACGCGCGAAUCCCGAAAACCUGUCUCAGUUCGGAUUGGAGUCUGCAACCCGACUCCAUGAAGCUGGAUUCGCUAAGGAUCGCGCAUCAGCCAUGGCGCGGUGAA